rnacentral:rRNA from 1 species
UACGACUACAUAUCAGGCAUAUCAAUAAGCGGAGGAAAAGAAACUAACAAGGAUUCCCUUAGUAACGGCGAGUGAAGCGGGAAGAGCUCAAAUUUGAAAUCUUCAAGGUUCUACCUUGACGAAUUGUAGUUUAAAGAAGUGUUUUCUGUUAGAUGAGUAGCAAAAGUUCCUUGGAAUGGGACAUCAUAGAGGGUGAGAAUCCCGUAUUUGGUUAUUCAUUCUAGCUUUGUGAUACACUUACAAAGAGUCGGAUUGUUUGGGAAUGCAGUCCAAAAUGGGUGGUAAAUUUCAUCUAAAGCUAAAUAUUGGCGAGAGACCGAUAGCGAACAAGUACCGUGAGGGAAAGAUGAAAAGGAACUUUGAAAAGAGAGUUAAACAGUACGUGAAAUUGUCAAAAGGGAAGCGUUUGACACCAGUGUUGUUUUUCCGAAAAUCAAUUACGAAUGGCUUGAUUUUGUGUUGUAUUGACCUUAUCAGCUUUCUGCACUUUUUUCGAGUCUUUCUUAAUGCACUUUUCGGUUAACAAGUCAACAUCAAUUUCUUUUGUUGUAAAAGAGUAUUCGGAAGGUGGCUUUCUUUUCGGAGAAAGUGUUUAUAGCCCUAUACUUCUACAAUCGGAGAGAUUGAGGUCUGCAGCGUAGAUCCUUCGAGGUUAGAUACAUUUGUGCUAAGUUGUAGCUUUUCAUAGACAACUUGUUGACUAUGUUUAGUCAUGCGGCUUACUCGCUUAGUGCUAUUUUACCUACGCUUAGGAUGUUGAGUAGCGACAUACGCAC